rnacentral:lncRNA from 1 species
CCUUCAACUCUCACCUCAACCAGAAUGAUCUUCUGAGGCCACUCAAGGCACAGGAACCCAAGGCUGCAGCUUUCUUGGUGAAUAGCCCCGUAAUGGAAGUGCCUUGGGGAAGCACCUGGCAACAGACUGGAGAGUGGCGGUCUCGCACAGCUAUCACUGGAUUUGCCCUCACCUUUGACCAAGUCUCCUCUGUGUCCAGGUAUCUGCAUCUCCCAACCCAGUUCCUCUGGCAAGAGAGGGCCAGCAGAAGGGGCUACAUCUGAGACAGGUAGUGAAUGGGUACCGAGUCGGUACCCCCUUACACCAAGC